UCUUGCCUCUCUGGCACGCUGCCUUUCAGCCUCCAUCCUCUUUGAACAGCUGAAAAGUCUGAGAUACAUUAUUGGAGCUAAUCAGAGUCGAAUGAGGGAAGCGCUGAGGUGAGACAGCAGAAAUUACCUCCCUCCUCAGCCUGCCUGUUCCCGGUGCCCCCUCUCAGCCUCUGUCCACGCGUUCUCUGAUGGAGGUGGAGAGAUGAAGGAGGAGGGCGGCGGCGGCGGCGAGCUGAGCCGAAGGCACGGCCGCGGCGCCGACGAGUCACAGCGCGGUGAUUGAAUGAUUCUCUAAUACAAUGAGGUGAGAAUAAAAAGUAAUGAAGGUUAUAAUAGAGAGUGAUUAGGACGUAAUGGAAUCAAUGCCUUUUCUUUUUUGUUCCAGUGGAGGUAGUUCUUGUGUUUACACAUAAAAACCAGCGAUUAGUUAAAGAUAACAAUAAAACAUGACUUAGGUCAGUCUUUUGUGAGGUUUACAGGAAAAGGCAUCAGUCUGCUCCGGGUUGGGCGUCUGGACACGUGCUCCUGACAGCUGGGAAAUAAUUGAGCCUGUGACUUGACAGAUUCUCUAAAUUCCAGGUGGAUUGAACAAACUGCUGCACGCUUGAUGGUAAAAAUGAGAUUUCCUCUUCCUCGUAUCCAUCACAUCAGCUGUUGCAGAGGAAAAACACUCCUGUGAGAUGCCUCCUCGGUCCCACGAGACCCGCAUUGCCUUGUUCUUCAGGACCCUCUGGGAAUAAUCAACACAGAGAGGGGCUCGCGCUGCACGUUGAACCUGGAUAAAAGGCCGCGUUUGAGGCCUGAGCCGGGGCUGCGUCGACUCUGCUGCUCCGCCGCUGUGGGAGGAAGGUUGACGGGGCUUCAUGGACGCAUGAAAAAUGAAACCAGCUGCGUAGCCCCGAGGCGCCCGCGGGGGCCGUGGAGUGAUUGAGCUGCGCCACCCCUUCCCACUGUGACCCGCUAAGCCGUCCUGCACCCUGCAGUCCCCUGGCACCUCUACCUCCGUCCCACCUGCUCCCCCCCCCCCCAACGCCUGGCCGGGAACAGCAGGCUCGCCGGGCGCGCUAUCUCUGUCCACCUGAAGGUAAAGGAACCCUCCCAGACCUCCUAAGGGAGCGCGAACAA
rnacentral:lncRNA from 1 species